GUGAAAGGCCAAUGGAAAAAUCACCUCCAACAUGUUUAUACUCUUCAGUAAAGCCAAAGAGAGGCUGUUUAUAUCACAGAGGCAA